rnacentral:rRNA from 1 species
AUUGAACGCUGGCGGCAUGCCUUACACAUGCAAGUCGAACGGCAGCACGGGGCAACCUGGUGGCGAGUGGCGCAUGGGUGAGUAAUGCAUCGGAACGUACCCUUCAGUGGGGGAUAACGUAGCGAAAGUUACGCUAAUACCGCAUAUUCUGUGAGCAGGAAAGCAGGGGAUCGCAGGACCUUGCGCUGAUUGAGCGGCCGAUGUCAGAUUAGCUAGUUGGUGAGGUAAAGGCUCACCAAGGCGACGAUCUGUAGCGGGUCUGGGAGGGUGAUCCGCCACACUGGAACUGAGACACAGUCCAGACUCCUACGGGAGGCAGCAGUGGGGAAUUUUGGACAAGGGGGGAAACCCUGAUCCAGCCAUGCCGCGUGAGUGUAGAAGGCCUUCGGGUUGUAAAGCUCUUUCGGCCGGGAAGAAAUCGCACGGGCUAAUACCCUGUGUGGAUGACGGUACCGGAAUAAGAAGCACCGGCUAACUACGUGCCAGCCGCCGCGGUAA